CCUACGGGUGGCAGCAGUGGGGAAUAUUGGACAAUGGGGGGAACCCUGAUCCAGCGACGCCGCGUGAGUGAAGAAGUAUUUCGGUAUGUAAAGCUCUAUCAGCAGGGAAGAAAGAAAUGACGGUACCUGACUAAGAAGCCCCGGCUAACUACGUGCCAGCAGCCGCGGUAAUACGUAGGGGGCAAGCGUUAUCCGGAUUUACUGGGUGUAAAGGGAGCGUAGACGGCGAUGCAAGUCUGAAGUGAAAGGCGGGGGCCCAACCCCCGGACUGCUUUGGAAACUGUAUGGCUGGAGUGCAGGAGAGGUAAGUGGAAUUCCUAGUGGAGCGGUGAAAUGCGUAGAUAUUAGGAGGAACACCAGAGGCGAAGGCGGCUAACUGGACUGCAACUGACGCUGAGGCACGAAAGUGUGGGGAGCAAACAGGAUUAGAUACCCGAGUAGUC
rnacentral:rRNA from 1 species